GAUGAACGCUGGCGGCGUGCUUAACACAUGCAAGUCGAACGGAAAGGCUCCUGCUUGCAGGGGUACUCGAGUGGCGAACGGGUGAGUAACACGUGGGUGAUCUGCCCUGCACUUCGGGAUAAGCCUGGGAAACUGGGUCUAAUACCGGAUAGGACGAUGGUUUGGAUGCCAUUGUGGAAAGUUUGUCGGUGUGGGAUGAGCUCGCGGCCUAUCAGCUUGUUGGUGGGGUAAUGGCCUACCAAGGCGUCGACGGGUAGCCGGCCUGAGAGGGUGUACGGCCACAUUGGGACUGAGAUACGGCCCAGACUCCUACGGGAGGCAGCAGUGGGGAAUAUUGCACAAUGGGCGCAAGCCUGAUGCAGCGACGCCGCGUGGGGGAUGACGGCCUUCGGGUUGUAAACUCCUUUCGCUAGGGACGAAGCGCAAGUGACGGUACCUGGAGAAGAAGCACCGGCUAACUACGUG
rnacentral:rRNA from 1 species